AAAAGUACUUAGUCUAACUCUUUGUUUAUGUGAAUAUAUCACAAAAUAAAGUAAAUAGGAAAAAGUACUAAUGUAAGUGUUAUCCCGAGGUACUAAGGCUAACACGCCAUCGCGUAAAGCGAAAUGUAUAUCCUAUCACAAAAUAAAGUAAAUAGGAAAAAGUACUAAUGUAAGUGUUAUCCCGAGGUACUAGGGCUAACACGCCAUCGCGUAAAGCGAAAUGUAUAACCUAUCACAAAAUAAAGUAAAUAGGAAAAUAUACUAAAGUAAGUGUUAUCCCGAGGUACUAGGGCUAACACGACAUAUGUAAAUGUUAUCCCGAGGUACUAGGGCUAACAUGACAUAUAUAACCUAAUGAACAUCCGAAGAUUGUCCAAUUGUCCUCUGUAGCAGCAGCAGAGCGG
rnacentral:lncRNA from 1 species